CUUGCUUUCUUUGCUGGCGACCGGCGCACGGGUGAGUAACACGUAUCCAACCUGCCCUUUACUCGGGGGUAGCCUUUCGAAAGAAAGAUUAAUACCCGAUAGUAUAAUGAUUCCGCAUGGUUUCAUUAUUAAAGGAUUCCGGUAAAGGAUGGGGAUGCGUUCCAUUAGGUUGUUGGUGAGGUAACGGCUCACCAAGCCUUCGAUGGAUAGGGGUUCUGAGAGGAAGGUCCCCCACAUUGGAACUGAGACACGGUCCAAACUCCUACGGGAGGCAGCAUG
rnacentral:rRNA from 1 species